UUAUGGCUCAGGAUGAACGCUAGCGACAGGCUUAACACAUGCAAGUCGAGGGGCAGCAUAAAAGUAGCAAGUACUUGGUGGCGACCGGCGCACGGGUGAGUAACGCGUAUGCAACCUACCUAUCAGAGGGGAAUAACCCGGCGAAAGUCGGACUAAUACCGCAUAAAACAGGGACACCGCAUGGUGAUAUUUGUUAAAGAAAUUCGCUGAUAGAUGGGCAUGCGUUCCAUUAGGUAGUUGGUGAGGUAACGGCUCACCAAGCCGACGAUGGAUAGGGGAACUGAGAGGUUGGUCCCCCACACUGGUACUGAGACACGGACCAGACUCCUACGGGAGGCAGCAGUGAGGAAUAUUGGUCAAUGGGCGAGAGCCUGAACCAGCCAAGUCGCGUGAAGGAAGAAGGAUCUAUGGUUCGUAAACUUCUUUUGCAGGGGAAUAAAGUGCAGGACGUGUCCUGUUUUGUAUGUACCCUGAGAAUAAGGAUCGGCUAACUCCGUGCCAGCCGCCGC
rnacentral:rRNA from 1 species